UCCACUCCCCUUUUAUCUACUUACACUCCCUUUUGUUUUUUUAAUAUUUUUUACUAUGAGAUAAAAGGAAGUGUAAGUGAACAAAAGAGGAGUGAGAACAUAUAAUUUUAAAAAAAUAGAGUGUAAGUGGAUAAGAGAGGAGUGGG
rnacentral:miRNA from 1 species